GAGUCGCGCCGGCCAAUCGCAGGGGCGAGGAAGCCUUGAAUCUCCGGGCAAGUUAAGUUUAUCUCCGAGGCUCGGAACUGAAGGGAGAUGGCGGUUAGCUAAGUAGUAGGGUAGCAGGGAACAGUUUGCUCUCCUCUGCCAAUAAGAGGACGAGGGUGUGUCAUAUGCAAAUAUACUGCCAUCCAAGCCCCACCCCCAAGAUAAGCUACGCCCCCUUCUCUAGGUCCCUGCAGAAGUGGUGAGGAGAAUGAGAUAAAUAGUUGGGAGCUAGAGCUCGCUAGAGAGUCUAAGAUUGAGCUAAAUAUUUCCUGAUCUCUCGAGGAAGGGGGAGGGGAGUGGGAGGAUUAAAUGUUCCUUCCUUCAGGGCAGUGGUUAGGCUUUCUCUCCACCAAAAUCCAACUUUAGCUGUAAAGAAGACUGCAGUUAUGUAGCACUUUGUAUCCAGGGAUCUCAAAGAACUUUACGCAUCAUUUAUUGUGAACCUUGUUUUGCAAAGAUUUCAGUUACUUGAGUCUUGGGAGGCGGAUAGGGGAUAAAUGUCUGAGUUAUAUAUAUAUUUACGCAAGUAAUCGAGUUUGAGGGGAGAGACACAAAACCUCUGGUUUAGCGGUUUCCUCUUGUUUCUGAAGCACCUUCUAGCAGUUAUCUUAGAGAUGUAAGUUCAUUUACUUGUCCAGCCCUAAAAGGCCAAAGGGGCUUGUUUUCUCACCCAAAAGACCUUCCUGAGGCAGCUGUUCAGAUACAUGCAGAGCACAGCGCCCUGCUCAGAAAGGAAGGUUCAGAGAACAAAUUGCCGUUUAAAACUAUUGGGACAAACCUACCUCUUCUAAAGCUUAAAAUGGUCUCCAGCGUACCAGGAUUUGUGAAGGCCUGCAGUUCGUAGAAUGAAAUCUAUGUGGAGAUGAUUUAAAAGAACGGUUUCACUGGUUUGCAUUUCUUUCUUUUCUUUUUAAUUAAAAAAAAAAAAAACCCUGGUUUCCUUAGGGAUUCAGGGUGGUGUCAUGCAAAAUCGGAAAGAGACCAACACAUAUAAACCAAGUCUACACAAGGAACAAAGCUAAAAUCCUUUUGAAAUGAGUUCCUUUAAGUUCUUCAGUAACUAAAUCCUCCAGAAAGGAAAGCUGAGAGAAUCUAGUCCUAUACAAUAACACCCUCUAACAAAGAUCGCUAAAGGAAGAUUUUAGUAGAUGAAUAUCUUCAAUAAUACAUGGUCACAUACAUGUAUCUGACCAUAUGAUGGCUCUCUGCACCAAAUUCCUCCAAACUAUUAUAAUAUGUAUUGUCUGUAGUGCUAUUUAUUUGGCAGUUAAUCAUGUAUUACAUUGUGACAUUUCUUACAGUGAACCAUUAUGUAUGUGUUUAUGUUCUGCCCUCAACUACUCAAUGCCAGUACCUUAUUCUUAACACAGCAACCACCCUUUCUGGUCUGUCCUCACACCCUCAUUCCCAUCAUAGUUAUUCUCCUCUCUCAUGGAAAUGUUCAGUUUCUGGACAUCUCCUUUCUCUUCCAUUCUUCACCUGACCUUCCUUCCUUUCUUGGCCAGCCUGAAUAUUAUAAAGGGAAUUUUAUUUCAAACCCAGGAUCACACUUAAGAGGAAAAGAAACAAAAGCCAGUUCUUUUUAUUGCACAUAGAACAAGGAGAAACUCCGCCCCUUUUGUUGUCUGGUGCCGGUUUCAGUGUCUGCUGUGUUACAGUAGUGCCUUUGCUGAGUUUGAAACUGGAUACUCCAAGCAAGUAGAUGCCUUUUCUUCAAACAUGCCAGGGAAAAACUUAAAUUACUUUAGCAAAAAUAACCUUUCUGCCAUCUUCAUCAAGUUAACACAGAAAACUGAUAUUUAGUCAUGAAGGAGCUUGAUUAAACUGUUUCACUUUAUCAUUUUACAUCUUGAUACAGCAAUUUUUUUUUUUUUUUUUGCUUGGCUGCCUUCUCCACGAGAUUAUAUGCUUCAUGAGGACGCUUUUUCUCAUCAUUACAUCGUCAAUACAAUAAUGU